rnacentral:rRNA from 1 species
GCCCUUAGAGUUUGAUCCUGGCUCAGAGUGAACGCUGGCGGCGUGCUUAACACAUGCAAGUCGAACGAGAACGGUACUAGCUUGCUAGUAUGUCAGCUAAGUGGCGGACGGGUGAGUAAUGUAUAGUUAAUUUGCCCCUUAGAGAGGGAUAACAGUUAGAAAUGACUGCUAAUNCCUCAUACUCCUUCUUUCUUAAUGAGAGUUGGGAAAUGUUUUUUCGCUAAGGNAUGAGACUAUAUGGUAUCAGGUAGUUGGUAGGGUAAGAGCCUACCAAGCCUAUGACACCUAGCUGGUCUGAGAGGAUGAUCAGCCACACUGGANCUGAGACACGGUCCAGACUCCUACGGGAGGCAGCAGUGGGGAAUAUUGCNCAAUGGAGGAAACUCUGAUGCAGCAACGCCGNGGAGGAUGACACAUUUCGGUGCGUAAACUCCUUUUAUAUGGGAAGAUAAUGACGGACCCAUAUGAAUAACCCCCGGCUAAUUCCGUGCCACCAGCCCGCGGUAAUACGGAGGGUCCAAGCGUUUUUCGGAAUCUCUGGGCGUAAAGCCCGCGCAGGCGUCUAUUUAAUUUGGAUGUGAAAGCCUGCGGCUCACCCGUAGAACUCCAUCCAAAACUAUUUACCUAGAGUGUGGGAGAGGAAGAUGGAAUUAGUUGUGUAGGGGUAAAAUCCGUAGAGAUAGCUAGGCAUCCCAAAAGCGAAGGCAAUCUUCUGGACCACUACUGACGCUGAGGCGCGAAGGCGUGGGGAGCAACCAGGAUUAGAUACCCUGGUAGUCCACGCAGUAAACGAUGAAUGUUAGUCGUCGGGUAGCUAGUCUAUUCGGUGUAGCAGCUAACGCAUUAAACAUUCCGCCUGGGGAGUACGGUCGCAAGAUUAAANCUCAAAGGAAUAGACGGGGACCCGCACAAGUGGUGGANCAUGUGGUUUNAUUNGAAGAUACGCGAAGNACCUUACCUANCCUUNACAUAUAUUAGAACUCCGCAGAGAUUCAGAGNUNCCUUCGGGAGCUUUUAUACAGGUGCUGCACGGCUGUCGUCAGCUCGUGUCGUGAGAUGUUGGGUUAAGUCCCGCAACGAGCGCAACCCUCGUCACUAGUUACUANCGGUUCGNCCGANGACUCUAGUGAGACUNCCUUNGUAAGNAGGAGGAAGGUGAGGACGACGUCAAGUCAUCAUGGCCCUUACGGCUAGGGCAACACACGUGCUACAAUGGCCAGGACAAUGAGAUGCAAUACCGCGAGGUGGAGCAAAUCUAUAAACCUGGUCUCAGUUCGGAUUGUAGU